ACGCUCGACACCUACGGAGGCAGCAGUGAGGAAUAUUGGUCAAUGGGCGCAGGCCUGAACCAGCCAAGUAGCGUGAAGGAUGACUGCCCUAUGGGUUGUAAACUUCUUUUAUAUGGGAAUAAAGUUUUCCACGUGUGGAAUUUUGUAUGUACCAUAUGAAUAAGGAUCGGCUAACUCCGUGCCCGCAGCCGCGGUAAUCUGAGCGGGCUGGCAAGGC
rnacentral:rRNA from 1 species